rnacentral:rRNA from 1 species
UACGUAGGUGGCAAGCGUUAUCCGGAUUUACUGGGUGUAAAGGGCGUGUAGGCGGGAAAGCAAGUCAGAUGUGAAAACCAUGGGCUCAACCUGUGGCCUGCAUUUGAAACUGUUUUUCUUGAGUACUGGAGAGGCAGACGGAAUUCCUAGUGUAGCGGUGAAAUGCGUAGAUAUUAGGAGGAACACCAGUGGCGAAGGCGGCUUACUGGACUGUAACUGACGUUGAGGCUCGAAGGCGUGGGGAGCAAACGGG